GCAUCGAUGAAGAACGCAGCCAGCUGCGAGAAGUAAUGUGAAUUGCAGGACACAUUGAGCAUCGAUAUUCUGAACGCGAAUUGCGGCCUCGGGUAAUCCUGGGGCCACGUCCGUCUCAGGGUCUUGAACAAAUCGAUCCCGCGAGGCUUCGGCAGCGCGGGCAUUGCGGCUUCGCUCCCCGAGAAGGGGCGCGUGUCGCCAAAGACAGCUGCUCUCAAGGUUUCGAAAGUUGGCGCGUUCGGCCGACUGGCCUCGGACGAGGUUGGCGACGGUGCGGAGGACGGGUCGACGGCAGAGACCAAGAGCGAGAAAACACGGCUCGAAGCGAAAGCUUCAUCUUUGGACCUGAGAUCGGGCGGGACUACCCGCUGAACUUAAGCAUAUCAAUAAGCGGAGGA
rnacentral:rRNA from 1 species